GAGGGCGAUGGAACUGGGUUCCCGCUGGUCUGCAAAACCAGUAGGUGUCCCUGCGCGCCAGGGAUCCGGUCGGUUCGAAUCCGAUACGCCCUCUCCA
rnacentral:tRNA from 1 species